CAGUCGCCACGGUAAUACGAAGGGGGCUAGCGUUGUUCGGAAUUACUGGGCGUAAAGCGCACAUAGGCGGACUUUUAAGUCAGGGGUGAAAUCCCGGGGCUCAACCUCGGAACUGCCUUUGAUACUGGAAGUCUUGAGUGUGGAAGAAGUAAGUGGAAUUGCGAGUGUAGAGGUGAAAUUCGUAGAUAUUCGCAGGAACACCAGUGGCGAAGGCGGCUUACUGGUCCACAACUGACGCUGAGGUGCGAAAGCGUGGGGAGCAAACAGGAUUAGAUACCCCCGUAGUCCCUGUCUCUUAUAC
rnacentral:rRNA from 1 species